ACGUCCGUGGGCAUUCUGCACGCGUGUGUUUCUAGUAUGUCGACAAGAGAAGAUUUCAUGUUCCACUUUCUGCCCGUUUCCCACAUACCAACAAGAUAUACGACGCAGAUCCAGUGAUUGUAUGGGUUAGCUACAUGGUCAGGUUAUAUGCCUUGAAGUAUGGAUUGACCGCAAAUUGUUGGACUCAAUCAGAUCAUAUCUUACAAACAAAGCAUUGUCAGGGCGUCAUUCGACCAAUCAAAUGCCACAAUACAAAGCCCAAAUUCACAGCGAAGUAGAAAAUGGUGAAACAACAACCACGUGUGUAUUAUUUACACAUACGUACAGCUAUAGAUUAGGUACCUGUGUGCAGUACCGGUAUGGUACCGAGCAUUUAUAGUUUAUUAAUAACAUAUUUUUAUUAAUGCAUGUACCUUAUAGCAUGAAAAAAAUCAUUUAAUCACAUUUGGUUCGCCUUUAAACGUGUGAAUUUUAAACCUUGAAAUUCCGACUGGGGAUCAGGAUUCAUAUAGUUUCGAGCACCCGGGAUCCUGGCAGUGACCAGUACGUCAUAAGUAACAGAGAGUGUGCAUGAAGUAGGACCAUACAAUGUGCACUCUCAUCAAAUGCGCUGUGAAGUUCACGCUGUCAACUCUAAAGUCACAUCGAUGCACAUUGUCAAAAAUUCAGGCUUGUUUGUACUCUCUAUUUUUUUUUUGUGUGUAUAAUUUAAACGUAGUAGUUGAACUAUGUCUAGUAAUGUUAAGCAUUUAGAUACUGUGUAUUCCAUCGCUGUUUUCUUUCCUGCCUAUAACCUAGAGUUCCUCUUCAGCCGUAAGUGGGAAGGUCUGUCAGCAACCUGCGGAUUGUCAUGGAUUUCCCCCGGGCUCGGCCCAGUUUCCACCCACCAUAAUGCUGACCGCUGUCGUAUAAGUGAAAUAUUCUUGGGUACAGCAUAAAACACCAAUCAAAUAAAAUAAAGAAAUAAAUAUAACCUAGAGUGUUACUUUACAUACUACUAACGCCAAUAAUCAGUUUAUUACACACAUAUUUUCUUUUCUACCAUUUCAUCAUUUGUUUUGUAUGCACGUGUAAUUCAGCUGCCAAUAUCAUUUUAAUGUCUAAACAGUGUUUCAAAUUCUUGGGUGACAAAAUAAUAACUCUUGUUACAGGUUAUCCCCUUCAUAUGGAGCCCACCAAUUCUCUAAGCUGAUGUGUCUAACUACUCAGUGCUCACAAGAGGUGGAGCUGUGAAAGCUUGUUCUUGGAGAGUUCAACAUUGACUGAUACAGGGGAAGAGAAGCCGCACUCAGCACAGGCAAACCUCUCUGUGACGCACACACCCCAAGACACCUCGCUGUUCAAAUCUCAGUUCAGCCCUUCAGGACAGUAUGAUGUUGUGGUCCAGUGGUAGGCAAAUGCGGUAUUCUACAGCUCGGCGGUCUUUCCCAGGUGCAGCAGUGUAGAUGUUUUGCUCAGCUUUUGAUCUCUGGCGUUCAGCCUACUGGUCUGCCAGCAAGCUGAAGAUGGUCGUGAGUUUUCCCCAAGCUUUGCCCGGUUUAAUACAGGCUAUCAUCAUAUUGACAACUCCAUUUUCUGAUAUGGUGGAACAGUUUGCACUGUCAUCGUUGUCUUCAUCUCAUUGAACUUCAAGCAAAAUGCAAGCCAUCAAUCCAGGACCUCCUACAGAAAUGCAUCCUACACCUUUCACAGACUUAAAUGUACUGUGUGCAGUAAUGCUCGAAUGACUAUACUCGGGAACGUCCAAAUGUGGAGAAGAGUAAACAUUAAUAACAUAUUUGUAAUAAUCAGCUCAUUACAUAUUAUUCUCGCUGAUAGUAUGAGUACAUCAAUGCAGAAAUUGCAAAGUUCUUGCCCACUUGUUAAAGUGAAGGUAGAAAGUGAUAAUAUUUAAAUUGUGUAAUAUAUAUUACAUAUAGGUGAAUGACUUAAAAUUUUACCCCAAAAGUUCAUUUUUAGAGGCAAAUAAAUGUUGUCAGAUAUACUUUUGGUGUACUUUAACUGCCUUAUCGGUGUAAAUGUUCAAGUAAUAUGUCUUUGUCCAUGUUCAUUUGUAAUAUUUUUUGGUUAAAUAAGUAUUAAU